UCCGGCUUAUCACCGGCAGUUUCCUUAGAGUGCCCAACUGAAUGAUGGCAACUAGGGAUGAGGGUUGCGCUCGUUGCGGGACUUAACCCAACAUCUCACGACACGGGCUGACGACAGCCAUGCAGCACCUGUCACUGAUCCAGCCGAACUGAAGGAAAGUGUCUCCACUAUCCGCGAUCAGGAUGUCAAACGCUGGUAAGGUUCUGCGCGUUGCUUCGAAUUAAACCACAUGCUCCACCGCUUGUGCAGGCCCCCGUCAAUUCCUUUGAGUUUUAAUCUUGCGACCGUACUCCCCAGGCGGGGUGCUUAAUGCGUUAGCUGCGCCACCGAAGAGCAAGCUCCCCGACGGCUAGCACCCAUAGUUUACGGCGUGGACUAC
rnacentral:misc_RNA from 1 species